UAAAAUUGUUUCAGAAUGUUGGAUCCAGGUCAUUUGUACCUAUAAAGUUAAAUAUACAACUUUCAGCAACGGAUCUCUUGGCUCUCGCAUCGAUGAAGAACGCAGCGAAAUGCGAUAAGUAAUGUGAAUUGCAGAAUUCAGUGAAUCAUCGAAUCUUUGAACGCAUCUUGCGCUCCUUGGUAUUCCGAGGAGCAUGCCUGUUUGAGUGUCAUUA
rnacentral:rRNA from 1 species